rnacentral:rRNA from 1 species
GACGAACGUUGGCGGCGUGCUUAACACAUGCAAGUCGAACGGAAAGGCCCUGCUUUUGUGGGGUGCUCGAGUGGCGAACGGGUGAGUAACACGUGAGUAACCUGCCCUUGACUUUGGGAUAACUUCAGGAAACUGGGGCUAAUACCGGAUAGGAGCUCCUGCUGCAUGGUGGGGGUUGGAAAGUUUCGGCGGUUGGGGAUGGACUCGCGGCUUAUCAGCUUGUUGGUGGGGUAGUGGCUUACCAAGGCUUUGACGGGUAGCCGGCCUGAGAGGGUGACCGGCCACAUUGGGACUGAGAUACGGCCCAGACUCCUACGGGAGGCAGCAGUGGGGAAUAUUGCACAAUGGGCGGAAGCCUGAUGCAGCAACGCCGCGUGCGGGAUGACGGCCUUCGGGUUGUAAACCGCUUUCGCCUGUGACGAAGCGUGAGUGACGGUAAUGGGUAAAGAAGCACCGGCUAACUACGUGCCAGCAGCCGCGGUGAUACGUAGGGUGCGAGCGUUGUCCGGAUUUAUUGGGCGUAAAGGGCUCGUAGGUGGUUGAUCGCGUCGGAAGUGUAAUCUUGGGGCUUAACCCUGAGCGUGCUUUCGAUACGGGUUGACUUGAGGAAGGUAGGGGAGAAUGGAAUUCCUGGUGGAGCGGUGGAAUGCGCAGAUAUCAGGAGGAACACCAGUGGCGAAGGCGGUUCUCUGGGCCUUUCCUGACGCUGAGGAGCGAAAGCGUGGGGAGCGAACAGGCUUAGAUACCCUGGUAGUCCACGCUGUAAACGGUGGGUACUAGGUGUGGGGUCCAUUCCACGGGUUCCGUGCCGUAGCUAACGCUUUAAGUACCCCGCCUGGGGAGUACGGCCGCAAGGCUAAAACCCAAAGGAAUUGACGGGGCCCCGCACAAGCGGCGGAGCAUGCGGAUUAAUUCGAUGCAACGCGUAGAACCUUACCUGGGUUUGACAUGGAUCGGGAGUGCUCAGAGAUGGGUGUGCCUCUUUUGGGGUCGGUUCACAGGUGGUGCAUGGCUGUCGUCAGCUCGUGUCGUGAGAUGUUGGGUUAAGUCCCGCAACGAGCGCAACCCUUGUUCACUGUUGCCAGCACGUUAUGGUGGGGACUCAGUGGAGACCGCCGGGGUCAACUCGGAGGAAGGUGGGGAUGACGUCAAGUCAUCAUGCCCCUUACGUCCAGGGCUUCACGCAUGCUACAAUGGCUGGUACAGAGAGUGGCGAGCCUGUGAGGGUGAGCGAAUCUCGGAAAGCCGGUCUCAGUUCGGAUUGGGGUCUGCAACUCGACCUCAUGAAGUCGGAGUCGCUAGUAAUCGCAGAUCAGCAACGCUGCGGUGAAUACGUUCCCGGGGC